rnacentral:lncRNA from 1 species
UGACAUUUCUUUCAUCUCUUUUUCAAAAAUACCUAUAUCAUCAUCUACUUUUACUUCUCUUGAUUUGAAAAUAUGAGUUUUAUUAAAUACAAUAUAAAUUGACUCUUCUAUAACUAAAGUUCUUCUAUUAAAUACUUUAUAUGCUUUAGUAGAUGAUGAGUAGUCCAGAAAAAUACCUUCAUCAGAUUUAGCAUUCAAUUGAUCUAAUUUUUCUUUAUCAUUUAUUAAAAUAAAAUAA